GCCAUUGUGCUCAUUCGCACACGCUUGUGAGGAUCGCUCCCUACAAGCAGGCACUCCGGAGUUGGCCUACGCGACAGUUGCUCGCCCGUGCGGGAUUGGGUGCCGAAGUGGAUUGCCGUGGGGAGUGUAUACUACCACGGGGCCAUUAGGCGCGGCGCAAGCUGGACUACCUUGGGUAGGUCACUGUGAAUGGAAGGAAAGUGCUAAAAAAUAUUGGACAGCAAUGAAUAAUCACCAGUCAUAGUGUACAGUUUCUACUUACACAUUCAUAUUUAUGUUCAUACUUACAGUAGCUGCUAUAUUUUUAUUGUUCAAUUCAUUACUGUAGAAAGCUAUUACAUGCUUAUUAAUUAUUUAGCAUUGGAAAGGUAUCAUGCAAAUUACAUGCUCUUUACUUGUUAGCAUCAUACAUAUAUCAUACAAUUAUUGCUUUUACUCACCUUUAGUACAUCAUAAGCCUAGUGGUGUAAUUCGCCGAGGCUGGCGGCUUACCCACUGAGAACUAUUGUUAAUAGUUCUCACGCUCUUUUUGGUGGUUGUUUUUAAAGAGCUAUCUGCAGGAGGGGCUACGGAUCGUGGCAAGGGAGUCGCGUCUAACUAGACAUUGCUAGGAGCAUGCUAGUCUAUCACCUUGCUACUCGGACUACGGCCAAGGAUGAUGUCCCUAUGUAUAGAGAGACUACCGUGGGAUCUACUUUUAUACUCUAUGAUGUAUAUUUACCAUUUGGACCAGAUACUUUCGUUGCGACACUUCUCCUUUUUGCUGAGAUUUUGGAUUGUAUACUCUUUGUUCUUUUACUGAUAGUAUAUCGACUUGUACAUUGCUCUGAUAUCAGGAUAAGACUUUCUUUGUUUUACUUCCUAUCUACUUGCUUUCUUCGUAGACGCCUUAUAUACUGCAGGUGUAUGGCGGGUCUGUGCACGUCCCGGAUAUGCUUCCGCUGGUACCCGGGCGUGACAGAUUAUAGUGGUAUCAGAGCCUAGGGUUGAGUCUUAGUAAACCUAGCAAAUCUUAGGCUGGUUGGACUAUAAGAAUAGGCUCAUGAGAGACGGGGUUUAGUCGAGGUUAUUGUUAGCGAAAGUACUUUGAUUAGGUACUUAUAAACUCCGACUAGUAGGAGUUUGAUCGGGAUGUGCAAUUACUAACUUUGCAGAGGGUCACGUUGGCAGCCGACAACGUGACAUCGAAAAUUAGUAUGCGUUACAUCUCAUUACUUUCGCUAAUUAGCUGAUUUAUAUCUGAAGUAAAGGUUCAAUAGUAUAAAUUUUAUUAAUCUAUAUUCGUUUUGUGCUGCAGCUCAAGAUGCCUUUGACUCGUUCGAGAGCCGCCGGGGCGGCUGAGGUGUCGGAUGCGGAGGAAGUAGGGACCUCCGUUACUUCUGGAGCUAGUGAGAUCCAUGAGUUACAGGAUCAGCUUGCGAUGUUGACGGAUUUGGUUACUCAGCAGGCUGCGGCAGCACGACAGCAGAUAGACGCUGCGCGUCAACAGGAGGACAGGAUGAAAAGGUUAGAGGAUCUGUUACUCCGGCAGACAACCGAUAGAGAGAUUCCAGAUUCUGUACCUACAGCACCAGAGAGGGGCACGACUGCGAGAGCACCGUCACCGGUACCCGAUACACCCCUAGUAGCCCCGAGGGUAGAGCCCCGACUGCAGACAGUAGCACCAGCACCUGUACCUGUAGCGGCAUCAGGGACAGUAUUACCUGAGAUGGUGGGGGUUGAAGAGCGAGAGCGGAUGAUGGAGCGACUGAAUUAAUUCCGUCGCUGCAACCCUCGUAUCUUUGACGGGGAAAAAGCAGAUCACUGGGUGGUCGAGAAAUGGUUAAUGCACAUGGAGAAGCUAUUCUAUGAUACAUUCGUCGAGGAGCGAUAUCGAGUUUGGUUUGCGACGCACCACCUUGACGGCGAGGCUUACAGGUGGUGGGUGGACAUUCGUGAGGAUCCCCGUACUGAUUUGUCCGCUAUUACGUGGAACAGGUUCAAGGAAUUGUUGUUGACGACCUAUUUUUCUCAGAGUGUGAAGAGGCAGAUGGAAAGGAAUUUGAGAAACUUGAGGCAGGGGAACAGGACAGUGGCAGAGUAUGAGCGAGAGUUCUCCCGAUUACUGCACUGCGUUCCUUUUGUGGUUCAAGAUGAUGAGGACAAGGCUCGCAUAUUUGAGGUGGGUUUGCGACCUGCGAUUUUCAGAUUGGUCCAGGCAUCAAACCUCUCUACUUACAGGGAUGUAGUGAACCGGGCCUUGAUUGUUGAGAAGGGGGCAGAAAUCAUGAAGGAAAGGGAUAUUGUGGAUCGAGGAAAAGAAAAAAGACCAGCAGUUGAGAGCAGUGGUCAGCAAUCCUUCAGAAAGCCACCAAAGUAUCCGAGGGGGCAGUCAGGUCAGUUGAGGGGUUGAGAUUCUGCAGCACCCCGUGGAGCACCCGAGCGUCAUCGACCGCCGCGUUGUGUUAUCUGUGGUGGGCCUCACGUGCCGCCACAGUGUCCACAGCGUGGGGGCAGGUGCUUUCUCUGCGGCCAGGAGAGCCACUUUCGUUCAGAGUGCCCGAGAGGUUCUUUGCCUGCACCCUCGUCAGCUUCUGCACCUGCAUCUUCAGCUCCGAACCAGGGGACCCCGACAGCACCCUAUCAGUCUAGGCGACCACCAGGACAGCGGCAGUCGGAGAGUUCGCAGCAGGGUUCGAGUGGGCGGAUGUAUGCCGCCCAGACUGAGGGCGCCGCAGCAGCACAGGAGGUCGUAGCAGGUAUUAUUUUGAUUCAUGAUGUUCGUGUUCGUGCAUUAUUUGAUACUGGUGCAUCACAUUUCUUUAUUAAUCGGCUGUUUACCGAGUUGCAUAGCAUACAGUUAGUACCUACCCUGCAUCCGGGACGAGUGAUCGUGCCCGACCAUACAAUGGAUAUUUGUGAGUAUUGCCCUCGCUGCCCAGUUAGGGUAGGCGACUGGAUUAUACCAGUAGAUUUACUAGCACUACACAAACUAUGUGAGUUUGAUGUAGUAUUGGGUAUGGAUUGGUUGACUCAGUAUUAUGCCACUAUUGAUUGCACGAACAGAACAGUAAUCUUUAGAGAACCGGGUCAGCAAGAGUUUGUUUAUAAGGAGUGUCAGAAUUCAUUGUUCGCAAUGACCAUUAGCUCGUCGCGAGCACGACAGUUGAUCCGGAGGGGUUGUGUAGCCUAUUUGGCUAGCAUUUCUGUGAGUAACGGAGAAGCCGUCAAGAUUGAUGAUAUCCCUGUUGUGCGAGAAUUCGGGGAUGUGUUUCCAGCUGAGUUGCCGGGCAUGCCACCUGAUAGGGAAGUUGAGUUUGUGAUUGAUCUUGUUCCUGGGAGUACCCCUAUUUCUAAAGCGCCCUAUAGGAUGGCACCCGCUGAAUUAAAAGAGCUGAAGGCACAGUUACAAGAUCUGUUAAAUAAAGGAUUUAUUCGGCCGAGUGUAUCGCCCUGGGGAGCACCGGUAUUAUUUGUCAAGAAAAAGGAUGGAUCUCUUCGAUUGUGCGUGGAUUAUCGAGAAAUCAACAAAGUCACAAUCAAGAAUAAAUAUCCAUUGCCCAGAAUUGAUGAUUUAUUCGAUCAGCUGCAAGGCUCGAAAGUGUAUUCAAAGAUUAACUUACAAUCUGGAUAUCAUCAGCUUAAGAUCAAGCCUGAAGAAGUCUCUAAAACCGCCUUUAGGACACGGUAUGGGCAUUAUGAAUUUACAGUAAUGCCAUUUGGAUUAACAAAUGCCCCAGCAGUCUUUAUGGAUUUAAUGAACCGUGUCUUUAAACCCUAUCUGGACAGGUUUGUGGUCGUGUUCAUCGAUGAUAUCUUGAUCUAUUCUCGAAGCGAUGAGGAGCAUGAAAGCCAUCUAAGAGUGGUGUUGCAAGUACUUCAAGCAGAGAAACUGUUUGCAAAAUUAAAAAAAUGCGAAUUUUGGCUUCGAGAAGUAGCGUUUCUGGGACACGUUAUUUUAGAGGCUGGGAUUGCUGUAGAUCCAAAGAAGAUUGAAGCGAUUAAAGAUUGGCCCAGGCCAACCAGCGUGACAGAGAUUCGAAGUUUCCUUGGUUUGGCGGGAUACUACCGAAGAUUUAUUGAAGGAUUUGCGAAGAUGUCUACUCCUCUUACUCGACUCACACAUAAAGGAGCUAAAUUUCUGUGGAAUGAAGCCUGUGAAAGAAGCUUUCAGGAACUGAAAGAAUGGUUAACUACUGCCCCGAUCUUAGCACUGCAUGUUACUGGAAUGGAUUAUGUGAUUUACAGCGAUGCGUCGCUGAAUAGAUUAGGGUGCGUUCUAAUGCAGAAUGGCAAAGUAAUUGCUUAUGCCUCUCGCCAAUUGAAAGAUUAUGAAAAGAACUACCCUACACAUGAUCUUGAGUUAGCAGCUGUGGUAUUUGCUUUAAAGCUUUGACGCCACUACCUCGACGGCGAGCGUUGCGAAGUUUACACAGAUCAUAAAAGCUUAAAGUAUCUGUUUACUCGGAAGGAAUUAAACUUGAGACAACGUAGAUGGUUGGAGUUGCUCAAGGAUUAUGAUUUGACCAUCCUCUAUCAUCCUGGAAAAGCUAAUGUCGUAGCAGAUGCUUUAAGUCGAAAAUCGACGAAAAAUUUGGCGAUGUCGAUAACUAUGCAACCACUGUUGGUAAAGGAAAUGAAGCAGUUGAAUUUGGAAGUUGUAGCUCCUGACACGCCUUGGAGAUUUAUGUCAUUAGUGAUGCAACCUACCCUGAUCGAUCGAAUUAAAGAAAAGCAAGCUCAAGAUGAAUCCCCGCAAAAGAUUCGAGCAAAGAUCACUGUUGAUCCAAUUGGCGAUUUUCGAGUGAAUGAUCAGGGAUUGCUAAAAUUCGGUGAUAGAAUCUGUGUGCCUGCCGAUCCAGAUAUUAAAGAGGAGAUUUUAAAGGAAGCACAUCGGGCACCGUAUACUUUACACCCUGAGAGUACAAAAAUGUAUAAAGAUUUGAAGUUAACUUACUGGUGGCCUGGAAUGAAAAAGGAAGUUGCAGACUUCGUGGCUAAGUGCUUAACUUGUCAGCAGGUUAAAGCUGAACAUCGACUUCCUGCGGAAAAACUCCAGAGCUUACCCAUACCAGUGUGGAAGUGGGAGAGGAUCACUAUGUAUUUCAUUGUUGGAUUACCUCGCUCAUAAGCAGGUAACGAUGCCAUUUGGGUAAUUGUGGAUAGAUUGACCAAAUCUGCCCACUUUAUCCAAAUCCAUACAGUUUGGCCGGGGGAGAGACUCGCACAAGUGUAUCUUGAUGAAAUUGUGCGAUUACACGGAGUACCUGCUUCUAUUGUUUCAGAUCGAGACACCCGAUUCGUUUCACAUUUCUGGAAGAGUUUACAGGAGGCCAUGGGAACUCGAUUGGAUUUUAGUACUGCUUUCCACCCCCAGAGUGAUGGGCAGUCCGAGCGUACCAUCCAGACCCUUGAGGAUAUGUUGCGAGCUUGUGUAACGGAUUACCAAGGCAGUUGGCCACAGUUCUAGCCUAUGGCUGAAUUUGCUUAUAACAACAGUUAUCAAGUAAGUAUCCAGAUGGCACCGUUUGAAGCCCUUUAUGGUAGAAAGUGCAGAUCACCACUUCAUUGGAGUGAAGUGAGUAAGAGAUUGAUUUUGGGUCCAAAUGUAUUACAAGAGGCCGAAGCUAAAGUUCGACUUGCACGAGAACGCCUACUGACAGCGCAAAGUCGACAAAAGAGUUAUGCGGAUAAGCGUCGGCGAGAAUUGGAAUUUCAAAUUGGCGAUCAUGUAUUCCUAAAGGUUUCACCGACGAAAGGAGUUAAAAGAUUUGGCAUUCGAGGAAAGCUGAGUCCUCGAUAUAUCGGACCCUACAAGGUGUUGGAGCGGAUCGGCCCCAUAGCAUAUCAGCUUGCUUUGCCGCCGAGCAUGUCGGGAGUGCAUAAUGUAUUUCAUGUAUCUACGCUUCGAAAAUAUGUUUUUGAUCCAACUCACAUAUUGGAGAGUACUCCAGUGGAUUUACAAGAAGAUUUGAGCUUUGAGGAGCAUCCAGUGAGGAUACUAGCUCGAGAAGUAAAACGGCUACGAAAUCGCGAUAUACCCUACGUGAAGAUACUUUGGAGCAAUCGCGAUGAACGGGAAGCCAGUUGGGAAUUGGAGCGUGCAAUACAAAAGCACUACCCUUAUCUUUUCUCGACAGAAUCUUAAAGUAAGUAUUUACAAGUUUCGCGGACGAAACUUCUUCUUAGGAGGGGUGAACGUAAUACACUGAACUUUUGUAAAUUGCGGAGUUCGAAUGUGGGGAUUGGAAUGUGGAUCAAUAAUACGUAUUCUAAAUGACUUGGACAAAUUUUUGAACAAAUUAGAGAGUGAUUGGAGGGGUAAAAGCAAGAAAUGCACUGAACUGGCGAAAUUCAGCCUUUUCUGCAGGCUGUACCGGUACAGCCAUCAGCUUGUACCGGUACAGCACUGGCAGAUACGUGGCAGCAAGGGUAUUUCUGUAAUUUCACACUUAAUACCUAUCCACUUGACCCCAGCUCGACCAGGAAUGCUCAGUGGAGGAUGCUAGAGCUCUGGAGCUUGUUCUUCCACCUUCUCCACUCUCUCUCUCUAGGAUCUUCCUCUCUCUACAAGGAUUCGACGAUUUCGCUCGUUUUCGUCGCAUCACGCAUUCUUCGUUGGUGGCGAGCGUUGCAGAGCCUACGUGGACGUGUGGGGGAGUGUUUUGGAAGAAUUUUCGCAGCCCUGGACCAGUGAGGUGCUGGUUGGAAGCUUGAGAAGGUAAACGACUCUAUUUUUUCGUUAUCGGCACUCUAUUAGUCGAUUUGAGUAUUGAUUUCAGGUUUUUGCUUCCAACUGCGUUAAACUAAGAUUUCAGCAAUUAAAGAUGAAUUAAUUAGCUGUGAAUUAAUCUCCUUAGACCCGGGAUAAGCUUCUUUGAAGGUUAAUAGCGAUACUUAGUUCAUUAUGAAGCUAGUUGGUGCUAUAUGACGGUUAAGUGAAUAACUAAUGCAGGUUAGAAAUUGUUCUCUUCGCAGCAGGUUGUUGAACCAAAUUAAGCUUAAUUGGUGACUUUGGAGACUGAUUUAGAAGGUGUUCUAACCAAGGGUAAGCAGGAAUUUCAGCUAGAAAUGUAAUGUCGCAAGAAUUCGAUUAUAAUAGCUUAUACUCGACUAUAUUGAUGCCGUUUCGAUGUUGUUCGCAGCGAGAGUGCGAUCGAGCCUUGGAUCAUUUUAGUUGACUUGGGAGAGCUCUUGGAGACUCUUCUUGAGGUAUUACAUUGGCCAAAACAGGGAAUUAAGCUUCCAUCUUGUAUUAAUUGAGAAUUUUGCCGAACUUAGAAUCGAAGUGAUCGCUUCGGUGCGACUUUCGUGUUUCGUUUUCAGCAAGAUUGGGGCCUAGUGGAGCUGAGUUUUGGGACUUCUUACAAUUGGAUUGCGCUUAGUAAUAGGUGGGUUUGACCUAACCAGAGCAAGUGGAGCUCCCCUAUGUUCUAUAUGUACUAUAGAAUUGAUACAGUUGUAUGCUUUUGUGUGAUUGAUAUAGAACUUAAGACGAGUCACUAUAUUAUAGUGUUGAUAUAUAAUUGCAUUGAAAUCUCUAUAAAGUAGAGAACACUCAUGCAUAUAAGUCUUCAUAUACAUGUUUAAUUUAGUUGAGUGAUUAAUGGACAAGUUAUCAUGUUUCGAGAAAACCAUGACAUCCUUAUGACACUUUCUUGACUCUAAAGUAGAGAAUGAUGACGUGCUUAUGGUUAUGUUUAUAGUGCCAUGAUAGUGAACAGCUCCUAAUGCCAUAUGUAAUCUUGCAUGUUUAUUAAUCUAGUGGAUACUAGCUGUUAGCAAUACUUGUUAUAGUGAGAUUCCGAUCAAAGGAUCGACAGUAAGAACAAUGCAAGUUGGAAAGUGAUGAUCGAGACAUAUUGAGCUUUAGAUUUGCUUGCUGCCAUGUGCUCAUUCGCACAUGCUUGUGAGGGUCGCUCCCUACAAGCCGACACUCCGGAGUUGGCCUACGCGACAGUUGCUCGCCCGUGCGGGAUUGUGUGCCGAAGUGGAUUGCCGUGGGGAGUGUAUACUACCACGGGGCCAUUAGGCGCGGCGCAAGCGGGACUACCUUGGGUAGGUCCCUGUGAAUGAAAGGAAAGUGCUAAAGGACAUUGGACAGUAAUGAAUGAUCACCAGUCAUAGUGUACAGUUUCUACUUACACAUUCAUAUUUAUGUUCAUACUUACAGUAGCUGCUAU
rnacentral:lncRNA from 1 species